rnacentral:rRNA from 1 species
UACGUAGGGUCCAAGCGUUGUCCGGAAUUACUGGGUGUAAAGGGUGCGCAGGCGGACUUGUGCGUCAGAGGUUAAAUACUCAGGCUCAACCUGAGAAAUGCCUUUGAUACGGCAAGUCUUGAGUGCGAGAGAGGAUGGUAGAAUUCCUGGUGUAGCGGUGAAAUGCGUAGAUAUCAGGAGGAAUACCAGUGGCGAAGGCGGCCAUCUGGCUCGCAACUGACGCUCAUGCACGAAAGCGUGGGGAG